UCACCCGUAGACUAAUGGUAGGUCACUUCCCUUUCAAGGAAGUAUGCGCGAGUUCGAAUCUCGUCGGGUGAA
rnacentral:tRNA from 1 species